rnacentral:rRNA from 1 species
AGCGAACGCUGGCGGCAGGCUUAACACAUGCAAGUCGAGCGGGCAUCUUCGGAUGUCAGCGGCAGACGGGUGAGUAACACGUGGGAACGUACCCUUCGGUUCGGAACAACUCUGGGAAACUGGAGCUAAUACCGGAUACGCCCUUAUGGGGAAAGGUUUACUGCCGAAGGAUCGGCCCGCGUCUGAUUAGCUAGUUGGUGGGGUAACGGCCUACCAAGGCGACGAUCAGUAGCUGGUCUGAGAGGAUGAUCAGCCACACUGGGACUGAGACACGGCCCAGACUCCUACGGGAGGAAGCAGUGGGGAAUAUUGGACAAUGGGCGCAAGCCUGAUCCAGCCAUGCCGCGUGAGUGAUGAAGGCCUUAGGGUUGUAAAGCUCUUUUGUCCGGGACGAUAAUGACGGUACCGGAAGAAUAAGCCCCGGCUAACUUCGUG